GAGAGGAGCCUGGUCCUGGAUUCCCUGUACUUCGUGAUCAGACCGGAUCAUGGAUCUGCAGCUGAGCUGGCUAUUCCUUGUUGCUAUUUUAACAGGUGUGCAGUGUGAAGUGCAGCUGGUGGAGUCUGGGGGAGGCUUGGUGCAGCCUGGGGGGUCCCUGAGACUCUCUUGUGAAGCCUCUGGAUUCACCUUCAGUGAUUACUGGAUGUACUGGGUCCGCCAGGCUCCGGGGAAAGGGCUGGAGUGGGUUAGCUUAAUUAGACUCAAAGCUAAUAGUUACACAACAGAAUAUGCUACGUCUGUGAAAGGAAGAUUCACCAUAUCCAGAGAUGACGGCAAGAGCAUGCUUUAUCUGCAGAUGAACAGCCUGCGGGCCGAGGACACAGCCACGUAUUACUGUACUACCACACAGUGAAGAAACUCCA